CCUACGGGAGGCAGCAGUGAGGAAUAUUGGUCAAUGGACGAGAGUCUGAACCAGCCAAGUAGCGUGAAGGAUGACUGCCCUAUGGGUUGUAAACCUCUUUUGUCAGGGAGCAAAGGGCGCCACGUGUGGCGCUUUGCGAGUACCUGAAGAAAAAGCAUCGGCUAACUCCGUGCCAGCAGCCGCGGUAAUACGGAGGAUGCGAGCGUUAUCCGGAUUUAUUGGGUUUAAAGGGUGCGCAGGCGGAAUGUAAAGUCAGCGGUAAAAUUUCGGGGCUCAACCCCGUCGUGCCGUUGAAACUGGCGGUCUUGAGUGAGCGAGAAGUAUGCGGAAUGCGUGGUGUAGCGGUGAAAUGCAUAGAUAUCACGCAGAACUCCGAUUGCGAAGGCAGCAUACCGGCGCUCAACUGACGCUCAUGCACGAAAGCGUGGGUAUCGAACAGGAUUAGAUACCCUUGUAGUC
rnacentral:rRNA from 1 species